ensembl:lncRNA
AAUGUUCUUGACUCAGAACUAUGAAGCUAAGAAAUUUUUAACAAGAUCAGCAAUGUAUCAUAAAAAUAGAUACAGCAAGUGUACAUUUCUGUAUCUUUUAAAAUGUAAAAUUAUGCUCCAUAAUGUAAAUAUAUUCUCAAGGGGCUUCAAUACAUUAAAAAGUGUAUAUAGCCAGGUGUGGUGGUUCACACCUGAAAUCCCAGCACUUUGGGAGGCUGAGGAGGGUGCUGUAAAGAGUCAGCAGCCACAGCCAUGACCAGCUGGCACUGUAGGCAUUUAUUUAGAAAAGAUUUAAUGACAAAGGCUUUGAGUCAACACACUUGGGGAUAAUCAACAUGGUCACCCUCCCCAGAGACAGCAGUCCUGUGUGCAGAUGAUUAAAGGCCAGGUUCUGAGGCAUAAGUAAACUAACUUAGAUCAGUUUCUUUACAUCCCCUUGUUAUCUAACCCAAGCUCUUAAGAGAAUUCAGCUGCCUUCAGCCAAACCCCCUUCUGAAGCCACGCAAACCCCUGGCCUUCCAGGAAGGUUUGCAUCUUUCUACAAUUCUUCUCACCACCCUGACCGAUCUCCUACAGUCACCUUAGAAUAUGUCUAUCCAGACUACACAAGUACCCUGAGAAAUGUGAAACCUCUCCCUUGGCCCCCUCUCCAGUCCCAGGGAGUUGGUAAUCACUGCCUGGGCUUACUGGUCUUCUUCAACAGAAUGUGCUCCAAAUUUGUGAGUUUCCUGGCCAGAGUUGGCCCUUUGGGUGUAAGCUCCUAAAUCUAGUGACCAUUUCUAUCUGAAUCUGUUUGGUUUGUGUUUCAUCCAGAAUAGUACCUUACAUAAGCACUUACAUCUAAUUCUUGAUACAGAUUUAUUGGCAAAUAUUGGAUAUGGUUAAGAGAACAUGUUCUGGUGUCAUGCCAUGCACAGGACAGCUACAUUCCCUGGCCUCUAUGGCAAUCAGGUUGGGACCAGGUUGACAUGGUUCUGGCCAUUUGACAGAGGCGGAUGUGAUAUAUGCCACUUACAAGCCUGUUCCCAAAAUGUUCCACACUAUCUUCCACACUCUUUCUUUACUAGUUGGACAAUCAGAUAGACAAGAUCUAGGAGAGAACUUUAAGAAGGCUCUGGGGAGUUAUGGAGCUGCAAGAUAGAAAGAGCCUGGAUCCCUGAGUCACAGCUAGGAGGAGAUUGCCCGAGAGAGCUGCGCAACUCAUAUUCACUGUGAGGUGAGGAAGAAAUGAAUCAUUGCAUUAAGCCACAGAGAUUUGGGGGAUUCUUUGCUAUAAUAGCUAGUGUUAAUUAGCCUAAUACAUUUUUAAAGUUCUUAAAAUAUAAUAAGGGCUAAAUAAAUGUUAGUUUUUAUAGCUUAUCAUUUGUUCUGUCCACUAAUAUGUAUUAUGUCUUACAGGUAGUAUUGUAUAUGUUUCCCACAACACCUUAGAAGGUGGAUGCCCAGGCCUUGCUCUCUCUCACCAGAGGGCCUUUACCUAUGUUCUUUUCUCUGGUUUACCUGUUCCUUCUUCCUGUCUCCACAUAGUCAACACUACCCAUCAUUAAGAUCAAAGCUCAGGUGUGCUCCUACCCAUCAAAACCCUCCCUAGCUCCCUAGACUAGAUCAGUGUUCCCUAUUAAAUGAUAUUAAUAGGGAUUAAAUCCCUAAACAUCUCCUACAGGGUACUUAUGACAGUUUGUCAUUGCAUGACUAUGUAAUUCUUUGGUGAGCAUCUCUCUUCUUCUUCAACAUAGAAUAAGCACCAAGACUUCAGGGGCCAUCUUAUCUGAUUCACUGUGCCUAGCCCGAUGCCUGGCUAUAAGAUGUGCUCAAAACAUAUUUGACUAUACGGGUGUAUCCGCACAGGAUGGGCCUCACAGGUUUUCUGCCUCUUAGUGAGGUCAACUCUCAGGGUUAGAUCUGGUCUUCAUCUUUGCAAGUUUAGAAACUUAAUUUUUCAUGGAAGCCCAGCACCUGGAACAUGAUUCCCGAUAACUACAUUUAGCGGAUAUCUACUUCCUGACUGUGAGGUCCCUGGGAAAGUAAAUUAGUGAGUAUUCAGAGCCCAUUUGAUGACUCAAGAAAGAGGAUGGUUUUGAGAGGAAUUCGCUUGUUUUAGGAUGGAAAAUUAACCUUGUUUUCUUAAAGAGUGUGUGUUUCUUCUAGAUACAGCUUUUUUUCCCCACCAUUAGAUCCAUUGAAAUCAUGCUUAGUAAGGCCAUGGCAUAUAAUAGGAGCUCGAUAAAUAUCUGAAUACGUAUCUGUGGGUCUCAUUAGUUGAAUGACUGACAAAUGGUCUUAUGCUUUGGCUCUCCAUUUCUAGAUCCCAUGUAGUGAUUGCCUUUUAUUACAGCAUCACUUGUCCCUGGAUCUCUACCACAGAAGUUUGAGAAGAACUAGUGAAUAUGAGCCAGACCUACAAGAUUAUAAAUCCCUUGAGGUUAAGAAUAGUCAUCAGAAAGAAAAAGAAAAUCAUUAUCAUCAUUAUCAGAGCCAACGCUUUUCAUGUACUUAUCCAAACCAGGCACUGUGCUGAGCCCUUUACAACCGUUAUCUCAUUAAUCCUUAUAACAACCAUGUGAGUAGUGUCCCUGUUUAUUUUUAUUUUAUUUUAUUUUUGUUUUUUGCUUUGAUUUUAGAGACAGUCUUAUUCUGUCAUCCAGGCUGGAGGGCAUUGCCACAAUCACAGCACACUGCAGCCUCAGACUCCUAGGCUCAAGUGAUCAUUCAGCCUCAGCCCACACCCCACCCAAGCAGCACUAUAGGCCUGAGCCAUCAUACCCAGGUAAUUUUUUUUUUUUGAGACAGGGUCUCACUCUGUCACCCAGGCUGGAGUGCAGUGGCGUGAUCUCAGCUCACUGCCUCCUUGAACUCCCAGGCUCAGGUGAUCCUCCCACGUUGGAUUUCCAGGUAGUUAGGACUACAGGUGCACACUACCACAUCUGACUAAUGUUUUGUAGAGACGGUGUUUUGCCGUGUUGCCCAGGCUGGUCUCAAAUUCCUGGACUCCAGCAAUCGGCCCACCUCAGCUUCCCAAAGUGCUAGGAUUAUAGGCAUGAGUCACUGCACUCAGCCCCUUUCAGCUAAUUUUUAAAUUUAGUAGUCCUCUUUUAUAGAUGAGGAAAUGAAACUCAGUGAUGAUGAAGGAACAGGUGAAAGGUCACCCAGCUAGUAAGUGGCAGAGACAAGAGUUGAACUCAAGCCUGUCUCACUAUGGAGCCUGUAUUCUCAUGCACUGUGUGUAAUGCAUUCCAGACUGUAUUCAUCUUGGUAUCCCUAUAGCACCUGAAAAUCAGCAUUAUACUAUGCCUUCCAAACAUGUCUAUAUAGUCAAUUAUUGGUUGCAAGCAGCAGAAAACAACUCUAAUUAUUGUUAACAAAAAAGAGAUUACAAGGCCACUUUGAAUUUAUAAGAAGCAAUAAACAGAUUAUAAAAAUGAAGAUAGGGACAGGGUGUACAGUAUAGUGAUUAUGACUAAUAAUAAUGUACUGUAUAUUUUAAAUUUGCCUUCAUGCACAUGCACACAUACACACACAGAAAGGUAACCAUAUGGGAAAACAAAAAAAUAGAGACAGAGGCCCAAGGAGCAGAAUACAAGAUAAUCAUAUUUGAGCAGGAACAAUACUACCAGGAUGCCUUGGCCAGAUCCUUCCAAUGCACAUGGAUUCUAACUUUCCAUUCAUCUUUGCCUCACACCACACACUUAUUCACAAUAUAAAGUCUAGGGUGAGAGCAUCUGAUUGGCCAGCCUGUCAUUUGCCUCUGUGCUCACUAAAAGCAUGUUGGGGAAGAGGUUAGUCUCUAGAUCUUCCUAUUUCCCUAGACGGAGGUGUAGCUUGCUGUGACUGACCCAGUGGGAAUUUCCCCCAAAUAGAGGGAGGGCAUGGAUUCUAGGCUGCCACAAACGUUGACAAAUGUCCGCCACAACAGGUGUGCAUUAGCUCAGGCCUACAACAAUCCCUAAAUUGCAAUUUAUGUCACAUUCCAGUCCCCUUGAUGAUACUAGAGAAACCCCAGAAGCACGAUUACAAGUCAUCAUUUAGCAUAGUUUAAGCACGUGAUUCAUUUUCAUGUUUAUUUUAAAAGGUGACAUUUUCUGACCCACCUUGGAGAUGCACCCUCUGAGGAGCCUGCAGCCUCCUGCACCUGAAGAAAGUGGCCCACUCACGAAAACACCCAGCCCCCCAGUUGGGGAAAACCGUCUCCAACUGAGGGGGAUCCAGAUCCAGUGGAGAAGAAUUUUUGUUAUUGUUUUUAGACAAACUGUCUUCAAAUAGUGCAGCACAGGCACUUCCUGCCUCGGUGGAAAUUCCGCACACUUCCUGCUGCUCACCUGCCCCAUCUGUGUUUAUCUUCUGC